GCCCGGGUGGUGAAAUCGGUAAACACAGCGGACUUAAAAUCCGCCGCCUCUCGAAAGAGGGCUUGCGGGUUCGAUGCCCGCCCCGGGCACCA
rnacentral:tRNA from 1 species